rnacentral:rRNA from 1 species
GGGGCGCACCAGGCGCGAAAACUUUACAAUGCUGGCAACAGCGAUAAGGGGACCUCGAGUGCCAGGAUACAAUCUUGGCUGUCGCGAUGCCUAAAAAGCAUUGCAUAGCAAGGGCCGGGCAAGACCGGUGCCAGCCGCCGCGGUAACACCGGCGGCUCGAGUGGUAACCGCUAUUAUUGGGUCUAAAGGGUCUGUAGCCGGCCGGAUAAGUCUUUUGGGAAAUCCAGCUGCUCAACAGUUGGGCUUUCAAAAGAUACUGUUCGGCUCGAGACCGGGAGAGGUGAGAGGUACUUCAGGGGUAGGGGUGAAAUCUUGUAAUCCUUGAAGGACCACCAGUGGCGAAGGCGUCUCACCAGAACGGAUCUGACGGCAAGGGACGAAAGCUAGGGGCACGAACCGGAUUAGAUACCCGGGUAGUCCUAGCCGUAAACGAUACUCGCUAGGUGUCAGCCACGGUGCGACCGUGGUUGGUGCCGUAGGGAAGCCGUGAAGCGAGCCACCUGGGAAGUACGGCCGCAAGGCUGAAACUUAAAGGAAUUGGCGGGGGAGCAC